GAGGAAUAUUGGUCAAUGGACGGAAGUCUGAACCAGCCAAGUAGCGUGCAGGAUGGCGGCCCUAUGGGUUGUAAACUGCUUUUGUAUGGGGAUAAAGUUAGGGACGUGUCCCUAUUUGCAGGUACCAUACGAAUAAGGACCGGCUAAUUCCGUGCCAGCAGCCGCGGUAAUACGGAAGGUCCAGGCGUUAUCCGGAUUUAUUGGGUUUAAAGGGAGCGUAGGCUGGAGAUUAAGUGUGUUGUGAAAUGUAGACGCUCAACGUCUGAAUUGCAGCGCAUACUGGUUUCCUUGAGUACGCACAACGUUGGCGGAAUUCGUCGUGUAGCGGUGAAAUGCUUAGAUAUGACGAAGAACUCCGAUUGCGAAGGCAGCUGACGGGAGCGCAACUGACGCUUAAGCUCGAAGGUGCGGGUAUCAAACAGGAUUAGAUACCCUGGUAGUCCGCACAGUAAACGAUGGAUGCCCGCUGUUGGUACCUGGUAUCAGCGGCUAAGCGAAAGCAUUAAGCAUCCCACCUGGGGAGUACGCCGGCAACGGUG
rnacentral:rRNA from 1 species